AGAGAGAGAGAAGAAGCUGGGGACAUCCAUAGAGUGACUAGAGCAGACCUGGAGUUAUGUCAGGACAGGCUGGAGGAUUAAAGCUGUAUGAAGAGUUUGGCUGUGACUAGUAGGGAGUUCUGGAUUUAGAUAUGUGUGUGGUGCACUGAAGACAAGUCCAUAGACAGGAGCUGCUAGAUCAUAGUCCAGGGGAUGACAAGGCAAAGAAUAACAACAGCCAGGAAACCGCCAACCGAUGCUCCAACCAAAACUGCAACUGUGGAGUCCCUUUCUGGAGGAACUAGGAGAAGAACACAGGUGAACAACAGCCAGCUACUUCAUCUACCCCUAUAAUGGGAAGCAUGCAGACUUGGUGCCUGGAACAGCACAAGCUAUAUACAGCCCCAUGCUCACCGUGCAUGUGCCUUAGUACAGCAGAGCAGGGGAGAAAGAGAUCCUGUUGUAGGGGAGUAAAGAUGAGGUGAGUAUGUACAGGGAGUUUUUUCUCUUGAGGGGAGGCUCUUUACUGGGGGCGGGCAGCAUCUACAUCCUUGAGGCACCUACUGAGGGGAACCUGGCUACCUAUUUGGGGCAACUUCCUACUAGGGGGCCACCUACCUACUGUCAGGCUUCUGGCUACCUACUAAAGGGUACAUUCCUAUUUAGAGGGACUUUUCUACCUACAAGGGGAUCCUGGCUAUCUACUGGGGGACGUUACCUAAUGGGAACAUCUAUUUCCCUGCAGGGGUGCUCUUGCUAUCUACUGAGAAGCACCUAUCUAUCUAAUGGUGGCAUCUAUCCACUACUAGGGAGGCAGCUACCAACGGCAGC